rnacentral:misc_RNA from 1 species
AUUUUUCUAAGUAUUUCCAAAUAUCAAAAAAUAUAAAAAAUAUUUUUUAAGAAAAUAUUUUCUGUAAAAUAAUCGGAGCCUAAAUAACAAAUUCUAAACCUAAAAAUAUAAAAUUUUUAAUUUUACAAUAAACAUAAUUUAUAAAUAUCCUAAGUUGAAUUAAAUUCCAAUAAUACAUCAUCUUUCCAUUGUUGAAGAAAACUUGUCACGAAUUUUGUAGUGUUGAAGAAUGGGUUAGGAGGACACACAGUUUUAUCUUCUUGGGCAACAACAAAAAGUUGAAACGAACAACUCCAUUCUCUCCAAAAACAUCAGAACAUAUAAAAUCAAUCACAAUUGCAAUUGUGAGACUUUGCAAUUCAAUGGGAAUAAAGGAACUUGAAAAAUCUUUCAAUUUCCAUUGAAAUCUCCAUGGCUUGAUCGUCUCCCUUCCCUUGGAUAGAUUUUUCAAGUUUUUCUUUCUCAUUCUUAUUAGCUUCUUUUUCUAGAACAAG